CCUACGGGCGGCAGCAGUGGGGAAUAUUGGACAAUGGGGGCAACCCUGAUCCAGCCAUGCCGCGUGUGUGAAGAAGGCCCUCGGGUUGUAAAGCACUUUCAGUGAGGAAGAACGCCUGGUGGUUAAUACCCAUCAGGAAAGACAUCACUCACAGAAGAAGCACCGGCUAACUCCGUGCCAGCAGCCGCGGUAAUACGGAGGGUGCGAGCGUUAAUCGGAAUUACUGGGCGUAAAGCGCGCGUAGGUGGCUUGAUAAGCCGGUUGUGAAAGCCCCGGGCUCAACCUGGGAACGGCAUCCGGAACUGUCAAGCUAGAGUGCAGGAGAGGAAGGUAGAAUUCCCGGUGUAGCGGUGAAAUGCGUAGAGGUCGGGAGGAAUACCAGUGGCGAAGGCGGCCUUCUGGACUGACACUGACACUGAGGUGCGAAAGCGUGGGUAGCAAACAGGAUUAGAUACCCUAGUAGUC
rnacentral:rRNA from 1 species